UACGUAGGGGGCUAGCGUUGUUCGGAUUUACUGGGCGUAAAGGGCGCGUAGGCGGCAAUUCAAGUCAGCUGUGAAAUCUCCGGGCUUAACUCGGAACGGUCAGCUGAUACUGCUUUGCUAGAGUGCAGAAGGGGCAAUCGGAAUUCUUGGUGUAGCGGUGAAAUGCGUAGAUAUCAAGAGGAACACCUGAGGUGAAGACGGGUUGCUGGGCUGACACUGACGCUGAGGCGCGAAAGCUAGGGUAGCAAACGGG
rnacentral:rRNA from 1 species